CCUACGGGUGGCAGCAGUGAGGAAUAUUGGUCAAUGGACGAGAGUCUGAACCAGCCAAGUAGCGUGAAGGAUGACUGCCCUAUGGGUUGUAAACUUCUUUUAUAUGGGAAUAAAAUGUUCCACGUGUGGGAUUUUGUAUGUACCAUAUGAAUAAGGAUCGGCUAACUCCGUGCCAGCAGCCGCGGUAAUACGGAGGAUCCGAGCGUUAUCCGGAUUUAUUGGGGUUAAAGGGAGCGUAGGUGGAUUGUUAAGUCAGUUGUGAAAGUUUGCGGCGCAACCGUAAAAUUGCAGUUGAAACUGGCAGUCGUGAGUACAGUAGAGGUGGGCGGAAUUCGUGGUGUAGCGGUGAAAUGCUUAGAUAUCACGAAGAACUCCGAUUGCGAAGGCAGCUCACUGGACUGCAACUGACACUGAUGCACGAAAGCGUGGGGAUCGAACAGGAUUAGAUACCCUAGUAGUC
rnacentral:rRNA from 1 species